rnacentral:rRNA from 1 species
UACAGAGGUCCCAAGCGUUGUUCGGAUUCACUGGGCGUAAAGCGCGUGUAGGCGGUCCGGUAAGUCCGCUGUGAAAGUCGGGGGCUCAACCCUCGGAUGCCGGUGGAUACUGUCGGGCUUGAGUACGGAAGAGGCGAGUGGAAUUCCUGGUGUAGCGGUGAAAUGCGCGGAUAUCAGGAGGAACACCAAUGGCGAAGGCAGCUCGCUGGGACGUUACUGACGCUGAGACGCGAAAGCGUGGGGAGCAAACAGG